CCUACGGGGGGCAGCAGUGGGGAAUAUUGCACAAUGGGCGCAAGCCUGAUGCAGCCAUGCCGCGUGUAUGAAGAAGGCCUUCGGGUUGUAAAGUACUUUCAGCGGGGAGGAAGGCGAUAAGGUUAAUAACCUUGUCGAUUGACGUUACCCGCAGAAGAAGCACCGGCUAACUCCGUGCCAGCAGCCGCGGUAAUACGGAGGGUGCAAGCGUUAAUCGGAAUUACUGGGCGUAAAGCGCACGCAGGCGGUCUGUCAAGUCGGAUGUGAAAUCCCCGGGCUCAACCUGGGAACUGCAUUCGAAACUGGCAGGCUGGAGUCUUGUAGAGGGGGGUAGAAUUCCAGGUGUAGCGGUGAAAUGCGUAGAGAUCUGGAGGAAUACCGGUGGCGAAGGCGGCCCCCUGGAUAAAGACUGACGCUCAGGUGCGAAAGCGUGGGGAGCAAACAGGAUUAGAUACCCCUGUAGUC
rnacentral:rRNA from 1 species